ensembl:lincRNA
UUAAAAGGCUGCUCCUUUCUCUUGUCAGGCACUGACAGAACUCUCAUGGGCCCCAAGGCCUGCAGCCACCCAGGGGCAAUUGUUGCCUCGUCCACCUCAGCUAUGCAGGGCCCUGUGGGGAAGCCUUAGCUGGUGUGCCUGGGACCUGGAUCCACCCCCAGCAUUACCUGCUUGAUGGUCAGUGCACUGAAAGCGGCUAUUUGGUGGCUUCCAGAGUAUAUGAAGUGUAAAGGAUGUUGAAACUGCGCAGCCUGACUCAGUUUUCCAACUUCAAAACUGCCUGCUGGUACAUGGAAAAGCACCUGCUGGAGGCGUUCAAAGACCAUCUAGAAGGCCAUUUGAAGGAGUUAUGGAAAAGUUAUAAAAUAAGUUGUAAUCAAGAGAUGACACUUUAUUGGCACAGGAGCAGAAGAGUUUUAUACCCAAUGCACAUAUUGCUCAGGAGGUUCAAGUUUCACUUGCCUAGAACCUAUUAUUGAAUUACAGACUUAGAAUCAAUAUGGGAAGCAGAUUAACUAAAUUACAACAAUUGGCACCAAGGCUUAAUCUCUUCACAGACCAGGUAAAUCUUCUAAUCCAUGACCAUAUACUUUAUCCUUAUGUAUUUGCUGAGCAAAAGGAUAAACAGAUUUCUUGUUACAAAUUAUUAUAAAAGAGACUGGACAAGUGAAAAGGGAUGAUUGAGCUCCUAAGCUUUCCCAUGGAUGAAAUCAAACAAACCCAAAGCACUGGGAAGUAUGAAUGCUGUUGAAAUAGCAUGUUCAAAAAUCUUAGUAUGUCUGGCAUGUAAUGAUAGGUAGCCAUUUUUAUUAUGCCAGGAAGGAUACUGAAAGAAAAGCAUUGGAAACUCCAUGAUGUUACAAAUUUUCUUCAAGCCCAAACCGUUAUAAGCUAGUGGGCCUCUGUCCAGCUCUCAGCUCCAGAAUACAUUAUUUAGACUAGUCAGUGUUUGCUGCCAGCUGUUAAUUUUUAAAAUUAGUUGUCAAGAUUUUAAAAUUGCAGUUUUCUGCAUUAAAAUUUGUAUUCCUAAUACUCCUUUAAAAAUCAGAACAUCUGGCACACUUCAGCUGAACCUGAGAAUGUCUAUAGUGUUUAGUCUUUAGACAGAAUAUACCAGUAUAAUGGCCAUCUUCCCUCCCUCUUCCCUUAGCCUUUUCUAUUUCUUUCCUUUUUUUUUUUUUUUUUUUUUGAGACAUAGGCUCUC